UGGGAUAGUACAAAUUCAUCCUUCAAAGUUGAUUUUGUUUCAAUUCAAAAAACGUGCGUUGGGUUGGAAUCGUUUGGAGUACAUUUGGGAAGUUGAGUCGGCAGUGCUGUAUUCAAAAUCCCGCAAACAAAUUAGUGUAUUCAAUUGGAAAAAGCUAGUUGGAUUCUGUCAAGGGAGACAGUGGUCGAAUUUAAACGACCAACACAGUUGAGGCUGUUAAUUUGAGUUGGG
rnacentral:lncRNA from 1 species